AAAUGAAAGACGAAGUUAGUACGGCGGCAGCGCACGCAUAAAAAAUAAUGAUAUGAGCUAAAAUUUACAUGCAGGUAAACGAAUAUUUACAGAACCCAGGCGCUGAUCAGAUAGAUGUCCAGGGCAUCAUGAAGGUACAAUUCGUAUAUAUCCUUGAAUUCUACCCACAGGACUUUCUCGCCAUCACCGUAAAAAUCUAUCGGUUUUACCUUAAG
rnacentral:lncRNA from 1 species